CAAACUAGAUUCUGAGACUCAUAAAUAUCUUGAUUUUAGAAAUAUAAAAGCCGUCAAUACUUGACGAACUAUGGGAAAUCACUAUGCUGAUAUCAAUACACAGAAAAAGUUGAAAAUAUGGGUCUGGACUGACAAAACGACCAAAAACGCAUAAUUGGAGGCAAACUAUUGGGCUUACAAUGUGACAUCAAAUAGUAGAUCUGUAAAAUCUGUUUUUUAAAGUUGAGAAAAAAGUGGCUUGUUACGAUUGAAAGUUUAAAAAAAAAAGAUCAGUGAAAGAACCCUGAAUUUUUGUAAGAAUGCACAAUAUUUCCUGUUGUUUUCAGUUCGCUUUCUAAUAAUGUUUUAAAGUAUAAGUCAUGUUAAUAAGUGAUCAAUAUUCUCAUUAGAGACAGCAAAUAGUGAAGAGAAACCACGUACAAAAAUUUCAGUCUGAAUCGAGGUCUGAAUUGACUACACUGUCAUAUAUGCACAGAUGCUGAUUGUAACAGUGUCGACGCAAGUGAAUUUUUUACACACCGAUCACCAGAUGGAUUACCAGUUUUGAGCCAGAUAGUGGGAUCAUCAGUGACCUUGUGUCCAUUCACAGCCCAUAUAUCUUCAAUCAAGUCGCAUUGAACUCUAUGAGAUCCUGCAUAAUUAUCCAGUGUUGACCGUUACUAUGAAGGCUGUUAGUUGGACAUAACUCCCGCCCAAGGUGAUAAUACAGCGAAAAUUUUGAAAUACACCGUAACACCCGCUACAAACAAUAUAUUUUUUACAUCCAUACAAUAUUCUUUUUGUUUCCUCUCUUUUCACGUCUUAUGCGAUAAUUAUUAUUUAUUAAUUAUGUAUACGCAGUUACACGUGAAAUUUGAGUAGCUUAAGCCCACCUAUUUUUGAUUUGU